rnacentral:lncRNA from 1 species
UGAAAAUCUUCAAUUUUCUGAGGCUGACACAGAUCAAUUUAUUGAUCAAGAAUUCCUCACUACAGAAGAUACUGUUUAUUCCAACUCUGAAACUCAAGAAAGCGAAGCUUCUUUGUAUAGGUGGAGCACGCCUUGUGUUUUGUUAUUAUUAGAGUCUUAUAGAGCAUUGGAAAAAGAUUUUUAUAGUGGAAAAAUAUCCCAAAAGAAAAUUUGGGAAAAAGUUGCCAAAGAAUUGAAGGUAAAAGGACAUGAUGUAACUGGACCACAAUGUUCUUCAAAGCUACGAAGCUUAAAAAAAACUUACAAAUCUAUUAAAGAUCAUAAUAAUAAAUCAGGAAAUGACAGAAGGACUUGGCAGUUUUUUGAUAAUCAAAGAAGACACCAGUUGCCACUUUAUUAGGAAAAAGACUGAAGCAAAAAGAAGAACACGAAGCACAGAAAAAUAAAAGACACAAAGAGCGAAUGGAAAUGGAUGAAAAAUUUCUCAACGUUCUAGAAAAAUUAG